rnacentral:rRNA from 1 species
GAUGAACGCUGGCGGCGUGCUUAACACAUGCAAGUCGAACGAAGCAUUACUUUUGAAAGAACUUAGCUUGCUAAGAGCGGACAUGUGUAAUGACUGAGUGGCGGACGGGUGAGUAACGCGUGAGUAACCUGCCUUAUCCAGGGGGAUAACAGUUGGAAACGACUGCUAAUACCGCAUAAGCACACAGUACUGCAUGGUACGGUGUGAAAAACUCCGGUGGUAUAAGAUGGACUCGCGUCUGAUUAGCUAGUUGGUGAGGUAAAGGCCCACCAAGGCAACGAUCAGUAGCCGGCCUGAGAGGGUGACCGGCCACAUUGGGACUGAGACACGGCCCAAACUCCUACGGGAGGCAGCAGUGGGGAAUAUUGCACAAUGGGGGAAACCCUGAUGCAGCGACGCCGCGUGAAGGAAGAAGUAUUUCGGUAUGUAAACUUCUAUCAGCAGGGAAGAAAAUGACGGUACCUGACUAAGAAGCCCCGGCUAAUUACGUGCCAGCCGCCGCGGUAACAC